GGCCGGAUAGCUUCAGUGGUCAAAGCUUUUCCAAUUAAUGGAACUGACCCAGGUUCGAUUCCUGGUCCAGCCG
rnacentral:tRNA from 1 species